rnacentral:rRNA from 1 species
GACAAACGCUGGCGGCGUACCUAAGACAUGCAAGUCGAACGGACUGCGGGUCUUCGGACCUGCGGUGAGUGGCGAACGGGUGAGUAACGCGUAGGAACCCGCCUCGACGUGGGGGAUAACACUUGGAAACAGGUGCUAAUACCGCAUGUGGUCGCGAGAAGAAAGGCAGCAAUGCCGCGUUGAGAGGGGCCUGCGUCCGAUUAGCUUGUUGGUGGGGUAAGAGCCUACCAAGGCGACGAUCGGUAGCUGGUCUGAGAGGAUGGUCAGCCACACUGGG